rnacentral:tmRNA from 2 species
GGGGGCGACCUGGUCUCGACUGGUUGAGCCGGGCGUCAGUCGCAUGCGGAGGACGACCGUUGGCCUCCUAAAUCAUCGGUCACACAAGUAACAGCGAACGAAGAACUCGCUCUCGCUGCCUAAUCGCGGCGACGCCCCGGUUCUGAUGUCUGGUAGGGACCAGGGGCGCAAACACCAGGCUGGUCACAAGGUCGGGCACCCGGACGGAGUGACGAGAAUUUAACAGGGCGCUGGCUGCUUCGGUCGGCCUGUUCUCCGCCAAGCCGAAGCGGCGAGAAACUUAAGUGAGAACUAAGCAUGUAGAAGCUGCCGUUCCACUUUUCCAGGACGGGGGUUCGAUUCCCCCCGCCUCCACCA